UACGAGGGGUGCAAGCGUUGCUCGGAAUUAUUGGGCGUAAAGGGUAGGUAGGUGGUCUCAUUUGUCUGGGGUGAAAGCCUUGAGCUUAACUCAAGAAGUGCCCCAGAAACGGUGAGACUGGAGUCUUGGAGAGGGUCGUGGAAUUCCCGGUGUAGCGGUGAAAUGCGUAGAGAUCGGGAGGAACACCGGUGGCGAAGGCGGCAUCCUGGACCGAUUCUGACGCUGAGGAGCGAAAGCCAGGGGAGCAAACGGG
rnacentral:rRNA from 1 species